GAGGUUACUCUUAAAGAGAAGAUGAAGACUGCCAAUGCAACAGAAAAACUUGCUGAAGAAAAUCACAAAGAAGCUUUGAGUCAUGCAGGAGUUCCUGUUUCAGUGGACGACAUCAAAAGGUGGCAGAAGAUGGAGAAGGAAGUGAUGUCAAAGAAGGAACGAACAUCAACAUCAACAUGCAAGUGGAAGAAAGAGUAUGCAGGAAAGCGGAUGAGGCAUCAGGCAUUGGGUAGGC